rnacentral:misc_RNA from 1 species
CAGAUUGCGAAGGACUCCUAAACCAUUGUGAACCUACCUUCUCACGUUGCUUCGGCGGGCGGGCCCCUCAGGGACGCAGCCCCCGGCCCUCCCGGCGGUAGGGCAGCCGCCGGAGGAUACCGAAACUCUUGACUAUAGUGGCUCUCUCUGAGUAUUUAACUGAAUAAGUCA